GUGCCAGCCGUCGCGGUACUACGGAGGGUGCAAGCGUUAGUCGGAAUUACUGGGCGUAAAGCGCGCGUAGGCGGCUUAAUAAGCCGGUUGUGAAAGCCCCGGGCUCAACCUGGGAACGGCAUCCGGAACUGUUAAGCUAGAGUGCAGGAGAGGAAGGUAGAAUUCCCGGUGUAGCGGUGAAAUGCGUAGAGAUCGGGAGGAAUACCAGUGGCGAAGGCGGCCUUCUGGACUGACACUGACGCUGAGGUGCGAAAGCGUGGGUAGCAAACAGGAUUAGAUACCCGGGUAGUCC
rnacentral:rRNA from 1 species